UUAUUUUAAUUUUAUUUUAAAAUUAAGGUCAGGUUAGCCCGCUCGGCCGAGUGGCUGCUGGUCCGGCCACCGAGGAUGCGUUGCCUGUGGAUUGGCUCAAUCGACCGAGUGGCUGCUGGUCCGGCCACCCGGGAUGCGUAUGGGUCUGGAGGAUGUUUUGACUUUUGAUGUGCGGAGAAUUUGGUUUAUAUUUUGUGGGUUUGGUGGUAAAUUG